CUCUUAUCCAGAGUGGCGGAGGGAUGUGCCCUAUGAAGCCCGGCAACCGUCUAUAUUAUAGAAAUGGUGCCAAUUCACAUAAAGCAACGAUUUGCUUUUGAAGAUGAGAG
rnacentral:ncRNA from 1 species